GACAGGAGCUCACUGGUGACGUAGAUCUCAUGUGACCAGGAGUCGACGUGUGCAGAAGUCCUACUAGUCCAGUCCUUGUUCCCGUCUGGGUACCAGCUCCCUUCAGCGGUGCAGGCGGCGGUGCCAGAGGCCAGUGAAAGGAGUCAGCGUGCCGGGAUUUUACAGGUCUGUUGUUCUCUGCACAGCUCGACGCUAGGGAAGCAGGAGGGAAAAACCGACCCGACCCGUACGCGGUAGAAGUAAUUGCACUCGAAGAGGAAGAAGCAGGGAAAAGAAGGAAAGAAAGAGGGAAGCGAGGAAGAGAGGCAGAGAGAAACAAGAUGAAACCCUGCCAAAAAAUGGAAGGAAAACCAGAAAAUGAGAGUGCACCAAAGCUUGAGGAGGAGCCAAAGCCUGAGGAAAAGCCAGAGGAGGAGGAAGAGCCUGCGGAGGUGGAAAAAGCCGAGGGAACUUUUAGAGAAAGGUUGAUUCAGUCUCUCCAGGAAUUUAAAGAAGACAUACACAAUAGGCAUUUAAGCAAUGAAGAUAUGUUUAGAGAGGUGGAUGAAAUAGACGAGAUAAGAAGAGUGAGAAACAAACUCGUAGUGAUGCGUUGGAAGGUUAAUCGAAACCAUCCUUAUCCCUAUUUAAUGUAGUUUACCUUGAUUUUAUAUGAGGUUAGCAUUACCAUAUAGCUUUUUUUUUUUUGCCAGCAUUUUCCUGAUAUAUCUUUGUCCAUCUUUCCACUUUUAACUUGUUGCUCUUAGUGGAUUUAGAUGCAUCUCUUGUUAUCUGCAUCUCAUUGUUUAGCUUAUUUUGAACCAGUCUGUAUAUCUCUGCCUUUUAAUAGGAGAGCUUUACUCAUUUGUAAAAAAAAAAAAAAAAAAGUGGUUUCUGAUAGGAAAUAAGAGGUUACUAAGUCAUAUGUGAAUAUCAUAUUUUUGAAAAGUACACUUGUAUAUUACAUUUAUGCACCUGAAAACUUGCAAAAGAGGAAAACAUAAAGUACAGUGUCUUAGUGGUGAGAUUCUGAUUUUUUCCUUCUGCUUAUUUGUAUUUUCCAUUUUCCUAAAAUGAACACAUUAUUGUUGCUAAAAAUAAUAAUAAAAGUUUUAUAACAAUAAAAAACAA